CCUACGGGUGGCAGCAGUGAGGAAUAUUGGUCAAUGGGAGAGAUCCUGAACCAGCCAAGCCGCGUGAGGGAAGACGGCCCUAUGGGUUGUAAACCUCUUUUGUCGGAGAACAAAACCCGGGACGUGUCCCGGACUGCGUGUAUCCGAAGAAAAAGCAUCGGCUAACUCCGUGCCAGCAGCCGCGGUAAUACGGAGGCUGCGAGCGUUAUCCGGAUUUAUUGGGUUUAAAGGGUGCGUAGGCGGGGCGUUAAGUCAGCGGGAAAAUUUCGGGGCGCAACCCCGUAGAGCCGUUGAACCGGGCAGACUUGAGUUGGCGAGAAGUACGCGGAAUGCGCGGUGUAGCGGUGAAAUGCAUAGAUAGCGCGCAGAACUCCGAUUGCGAAGGCAGCGUACCGGCGCCAGACUGACGCUGAGGCACGAAAGCGUGGGGAUCGAACAGGAUUAGAUACCCUUGUAGUC
rnacentral:rRNA from 1 species